rnacentral:sRNA from 1 species
AUCAAAAUACACAAAGACACAAGCCAGGUCCCCACCGCGCUUGGCAUCCAUAGCAGCCUUGGUGCUGUGGACACUCCCUGGGGCCCAGCGAAGGGGAGAGUUUGCUCCCAAAGGCACACCAAUGACCAACAUUUGCCCCCCGGAGGAAAGAACUGGAACCAGCCUCUGACCUGUCCAGGUGCCCUGUCCAGCUGACUGCAAGGACAGAGAGGAGUCCUGCCCAGCUCUUGGAUCAGUCUGCUGGCCGAGGAGCCCGGUGGAGCCGGGGGUGACCCUGGAGCCCAGCCUGCCCCGAGGAGGCCCCGGCUCAGAGCCAUGCCAGGUAGGCAGGUCAGAGAGGGAUGGGCUUGAGUUCCCCACUCCCACCUCCUGCCCCUCAGGCUGGCUCCACAUUGUGCAUCCUGCUCUUAUCCCAGGCACUCUGCCUGGCCACAUGCCGGGGGUACAAAGGCCCCUGCUCACCCCUCCCCCUGGGCCCUUGGCCCUGAAACCAGGGCGAGUGGUGAGGAUGAGCCCUGCACCCUCUCCUGCCCCAGACUAGGCUCAUGAGGGUCAGUAAAGCCCCAGGAAUGCUAGGAGUGGGCACUGCUGGGGCCCACAGCGGGGUGUGGCCGAUGUGAGCUGGCAGGAGACCAUACCCUACUGAGAAGAUGGUGGUUUGACCUCCCGCUAGGGCUCAUCACCCUGAUGUAAAGAUGAACAAGUUCAGGCCUCAGGUGGUGGGG